rnacentral:rRNA from 1 species
AUGGACGCACGGAUUAGGUUGAUAAUCCAGGCAGCAACACUGAUUAGUGUGAUUCAGGCAUGGGUCAUGUUCAUGCGCCAGAGAGCUGUUCAUCGUGCUGGGAGACCUUUGAUCCGCUAUGGUCCAUUGUUUCCCCGGGAACAGGAGAGGAUCCAAAAUCUGAACUACAUCUACAACUGCAAUGAUGUCGAGGCUCUGUGGAUGCUUAGAAUGAAAAGAGCACCAUUUGGCAGGCUUGUUGAGACCUUCAGGAGCGGGCUGUUACUAGAUAGCAUCAACACCAGUGUCAAAGAGCAAGUGGCCAUGUUCCUCCAUGUUGUUGGCCAUAACCAGAGGUUCAAGGUCAUUCACAACAUGUUCAGGAGAUCAAUGGAGACCAUCUCUAGGUACUUCAAGCAAGUGCUUUUUGCUAUUGGGGAGCUUAGAGGAGAGUUGAUCAGGAGACCAUCUGGUCAGACUCCACCCAAGAUUCGCGGAAGCCCAAGAUGGUAUCCAUACUUCAAGGUGAGCAUUGACAAUAUACACUUUUCAUGGCUUGAUAUGCUUGUAUUGUUCAAGUUGAGAACUAACACAGGCUUGUGA